GGCCGGGGAGGCAGGCUCAGGAGGAGUAGCAGCUGCAGGGACACCAAGACGCCCAACGACGGUGGGAAAGAGGCUCCGCGGCCGCAGUCUGAGCAGCCGGCCAGCCUCACACUGGCUGCACAGCGGCUUCUCUGCCACCACGAAGAGAAGGUUGGUGUGGGUGAGUCUCUGUGCGUGGAAGAGCCUGGAGGCAGCACAGAAAGGCGGGGCGCUGAGCCAGCCAGCCUCGAAUCUGAGAGGGACCUCAAAGAGCAGAGCCUCGCCCUGGCUGAACAGAGAAGCCUCAGCUUCCCACCUGCUGCUGUGCGCCUGGGAGGACACUCACCAUCCUGUUGUGGGGGCUUGAAGACAUAGCCAUGGUUAUCCAGGCUGCGGCGGUAGAAGCUGGCAUUGAAGGGCUCAGGGGUCUCUGUCCAGUCCUCAGCUGCCCUGGUCACACAAGAGGGCACGGCCAGCGCCUAUGGGCCCAUCCCAGCCUCCUGCCCCCACAGGCUGGGUGGUGCCUACGUGUUGAGAUCCUGGUCCCGCCACACGCGCUCCACCAGCUGCUGUGUGAUGCCCGUGUCCAAGAUCAGGUUGUGCAGAAGGAAGUUGUUGCCUGGAACAGGAGGGUUGGGGUGGAGGGAGGAUCUUCUUGUGGAUCCCUGCCCACUCUCCCCGCUACCCCCAAGGCUCCGAACCUUCCCCAUGACCUGGCCCAGGACCUGCCCUUGGU